CCUACGGGAUGCAGCAGUGAGGAAUAUUGGUCAAUGGACGGAAGUCUGAACCAGCCAUGCCGCGUGCAGGAAGACGGCUCUAUGAGUUGUAAACUGCUUUUGCACAAGGGUAAACCUGAAUACGUGAAUUCAGCUGAAAGUACUGUACGUAUAAGGAUCGGCCAACCCCGUGCCAGCAGCCGGGGUAAUACGGAGGAUCCAAGCGUUACUCGGAUUUAUUGGGCUUAAAGGGUUCGUAGGCGGAUUGAUAAGUUAGAGGUGAAAUGUCCGAGCUUAACUCGGGAACUGCCUCUAAUACUGUUGAUCUAGAGAGUAGAUGCGGUAGGCGGAAUGUAUGGUGUAGCGGUGAAAUGCUUAGAGAUCAUACGGAACACCGAUUGCGAAGGCGGCUUACCAAUCUAUAUCUGACGUUGAGGCGCGAAAGCGUGGGGAGCAAACAGGAUUAGAUACCCCGGUAGUC
rnacentral:rRNA from 1 species